AUUGAACGCUGGCGGUAGGCCUAACACAUGCAAGUCGAACGCGAAAGUCCUUCGGGAUGAGUAGAGUGGCGGACGGGUGAGUAAAGCGUAGGAAUCUACCCUGUAGUGGGGGAUAACGUUUCGAAAGGAACGCUAAUACCGCAUACGCCCCAAGGGGGACAGAGGGGGAUCUUGGGACCUCGUUCUAUAGGAGGAGCCUGCGUCGGAUUAGCGAGUUGGUGAGGUAAAGGCUCCCCAAGGCGACGAUCCGUGGCUGGUCUGAGAGGAUGACCAGCCACACCGGAACUGAGACACGGUCCGGAGUCCUACGGGAGGCAGCAGUGGGGAAUAUUGCGCAAUGGGCGAAAGCCUGACGCAGCCAUACCGCGUGUGUGAAGAGGGCCUUCGGGUUGUAAAGCACUUUCAGUGGGGAGGAAAAGCUGGUGGCUAAUAUCCAUCGGCCGUGACGCUACCCACAGAAGAAGCACCGGCUAAUUCCGUGCCAGCCGCCGCAGUAAUAC
rnacentral:rRNA from 1 species